rnacentral:rRNA from 1 species
UUGGAGGGCAAGUCUGGUGCCAGCAGCCGCGGUAAUUCCAGCUCCAAUAGCGUAUAUUAAAGUUGUUGCAGUUAAAAAGCUCGUAGUUGAAUUUCGGGGUUAGUAGGUUGGUCAUGCCUCUGGUAUGUACUGGUCUCACUGAUUCCUCCUUCCUGAUGAACCGUAAUGCCAUUAAUUUGGUGUUGCGGGGAAUUUGGACUGUUACUUUGAAAAAAUUAGAGUGUUUAAAGCAAGCUAACGCUUGAAUACAUUAGCAUGGAAUAAUGAAAUAGGACGUUCGAUCCUAUUUUGUUGGUUUCUAGGAUUGACGUAAUGAUUAAUAGGGAUAGUUGGGGGCAUUAGUAUUCAAUUGUCAGAGGUGAAAUUCUUGGAUUUAUUGAAGACUAACUACUGCGAAAGCAUUUGCCAAGGAUGUUUUCAUUAAUCAAGAACGAAAGUUAGGGGAUCGAAGACGAUCAGAUACCGUCGUAGUCUUAACCAUAAACUACGCCGACUAGGGAUCGGAUGAUGUUAAUUUUUUAAUGACUCAUUCGGCGCCUUACGGGAAAC